rnacentral:lncRNA from 1 species
GGGAAUCGGGCCUUGGAAAAGCUUAUUCUUGAGCGUUGCAGUAAACUGACUAAGCUUCAUGCCUCGAUUGGGAAUUUGGGUACACUGGUCCACUUGAACCUUCGAGACUGUGAAAACCUCAUUGAACUUCCAAAUGAUGUCUCCGGCCUGACAAAACUUGAGAACCUAAUCCUCUCUGGUUGCUUACAACUGAAAGAACUGCCAAGCAACAUGGACAGCAUGGUAUCAUUAAAAGAACUUCUCCUUGAUGGCACUGCUGUAAAAAAUCUUCCUGAAUCUAUUUUCCGGUUUUCAAAACUCGAAAAGCUCAGCUUGAACCGGUGCAAACAUUUGAAAGGGCUACCUGAGUUGAUAGGAAAGUUGCAUUCUCUGAAAGAAAUCUCCCUCAACGAUUCUGCUUUAGAAAACCUACCUGUUUCCUUUGGAUAUUUGGCAAACCUUGAGAAACUAAGUUUGCUCUGGUGUAAAUCACUGACAACUAUUCCUGAUUCCAUUGGCAACCUCAGUUCGUUAAUGGAAUUUCAGACUUACGGUAGCGGAAUCAAAGAACUUCCUGUGGCCGUUGGUUCAUUAUCAAACUUGAAGGAAUUAUCAACCGGACACGGUCAAAUUUUGAGCAGAUUGCCUGAUUCAAUUGGAGGUUUGAAUUCUCUAGUUGUGCUAAAAAUAGAUCAGACAUUAAUCACAGAACUUCCACAUGAGAUUGGUGCCUUGAAGUCACUUGAGAAGCUUGAGAUGAGGAAGUGUGGAUUUCUUAGAUCAUUACCAGAAUCAAUUGGAAGCAUGAGGGCAUUGACUACAAUAGUCAUAACUGAAGCUGAUAUUACUGAGUUGCCAGAAUCGAUAGGGAAGUUGGAAAACCUUACCAUGUUACAGUUGAACAGAUGUAAACACCUCUGCAAGCUUCCAGCUUCAAUAGGACAAUUGAAUUCCUUGCACAGAUUGCUGAUGGUGGAAACUGCAGUGACAGAACUACCCGAAAGCUUCGUAAUGCUUUCCAGUUUAAUGGUUUUAAAUAUGGGAAAGAAGCAUCAAAAUAGGGAAGAUGCGGAAGAGAUUAAAUUUAUACUCCCCACUUCUUUCUCAAAUCUAUCACUGCUAUGUGAACUGCAUGCCGGUGCUUGUAAUAUAUCUGGUAAAAUUGCAGAUGAUUUCGAGAAGUUAUCAUCGCUUGAAGUCUUGAAUCUGGGCCGUAAUAACUUUUACAGUCUUCCAGCCAGCCUGAGGGGCCUGUCUCUUCUCAGAAAGCUUUUAUUACCUCACUGUAAAAAGCUCAAGGCUCUGCCUCCGCUUCCCCCAAGUUUAGAAGAGUUGGAUGCUGCAAACUGCACCUCAUUAGAAAGUAUCUCUGAUAUUUCAAACCUGGAAAACUUGGCGAUGCUGAACCUUACAAGUUGUGAGAAAGUUGUGGACAUUCCAGGACUUGAAUGCUUGAAGUCGUUGGUAAGGUUGUAUGCAAGUGGUUGCACAGCUUGCUCAUCAGCUAUUAAGAAAAGACUUGCUAAGGUUCUCUCUCUCUCUCUCUCUCUCUCUCUCUCUCUCUCUUCCCCCGUGUAUAUACUAUAUAUGUAUGUACAUGUAUAAGAAAGUGAAACACAAUCAUAGAUUUGAAUUUUUUGUUGCAGAGCUACAUGAGGAAAAUACGCAAUCUUAGCAUUCCCGGAAGCAAGAUACCAGACUGGUUUUCUCAAGAUGUGGUUACAUUCUCAGUAAGAAAAAACCGUGAUCUCAAAAGUGUAAUCAUAGGCGUUGUAGUCUCUCUCAACCAGCAAAUACCAGAUGACAUGAGAGAAGAACUCCCUGCAAUAGUAGACAUUCUAGCACAGAUCCUUAUACUAGAUUUUUCUACCUUCACUUCAGCUUUGAACUUAUUGGGAGUGCCAAAUACAAAUGAAGACCAAGUUCAUUUGUGCCGAUACCCAACUCACCAUCCCUUGGUUUCUCAGUUGAAAGAUGGUUAUAAGAUACGUGUGAUACGGAGAGAGCCACCGAUGAUGAAAGGGGUUGAGCUGAAGAAGUGGGGGAUCCAUUUGGUCUAUGAAGGUGAUGAUGAUUAUGAGGGAGAUGAAGAAUCAUUUAAUGAAAGCCAGCAAUCCCAUUCAGAAAAGAUGGCAAGGUUCUUCAGCUCAUUUGAAGAUAGUGACUGAACCGAACCUGCAGCUUUGAAAAAGAUGAUUGCAUUGCACCUCUGAAUGAAUCUAAUUGUUUAGCAGAUGAAGGAAAUAGUUCAGCUGAACAAAGAAUGUCAUUAUAUAUGUGACCCCUCAGUUACACUUGCAUUAUUUUUUAUGUCGCUUUAUCAAGGAUUUAUACAUAUAACCAAAACCAACUAUUUUUUUUGCCUCCUUAUAUUCUUACUGAGUUUUUUUUUAUUUUACUUUUCAUUUUUAUAAACCAAAGUAGCUACUUUUUGGAUAACUUUUUUUUAUCGUAUCAUCCGCGUGGUGUGUGACUUUAGUAUGUUAUGACACUCUCAAUAAUAAAGGUCUUUAAAAAAAUGACAUAAUGAAUGGACACAAUGUCGAAUACGUACGACAUAAGCCCAACUAACUGGCAAGAAUUCAAUACUUUUGCUUAGCUGCAACUCUUAUUUGAAAGAAUAUUAAUUAGUUUUUCUAUUUAAAUCCUGCACUCAAUUUUUAAGAAACCUCAUUAUCUUUUCAAAUUACUCCUAGAUAUACACCCAGCAGAAAAAAAAAAAUUUAAAACUCAUCAACCUCACACCUUACACCCUAUUAUCUUGCCCCUCACCUCUCUAAGUUCAUCUCAACCUUAGAAUUACAAGAAGUCUUUAAUUGCGGCAUCCUCAAUCAUUCUGGGAGGAGUUCCAAAUCAAGAAAUAAUCUCACAUUAUAUACCUCAAUUGACGACCUACAAGUCACUAUUUGUAUACCGUAUUUAGGGUUUGUGAAGAGAAGAUGAGAGUAUAAUAGGUUUUUUGGAUUGAAAGAGAAGAGUAAUAUGACAAUAGAAAAGAGUUUGUGUUUUUUGGGGGGUUGUGGGGUGUUGGAUGACAUUUUUUAUCUUUUUACACAAUAAUAAAACUUAAGAGCUUAAUGAUUUAACUAUUGGGGUUUAAAUAGAAAACUUGUUAUAAAACUAGGGGGAAUUGUAGAGAGCAAUAAGAAAAAGAGAAAGACAUAAAGUUUAUUCUAUGAACUUAUAUAUCAUUCAUCUUUGAUACCUACAAUUUAUAGGCUUCGGGGAUAGACAAACAUUCACCGCCCAUUAUUGGUAGGUUACAAACACAUAAUUACAACCCAUAAAUGUACUAAAUACAAUCCUUAGUGCAUAGGUUACAACGACAUUAUGAUGUGUUUUAUGGUAGGUAUUAUGAGUGAUAUUAUGGUAGUCAAAUCAAUAGAUUUACAACACUCCCCUUGGAUGUCCACUAUAUAUGAUAUAGUUGCCUCAUUAAAACCUUGCUUGGAAAAUCCAAUGGGACAAAAACCUAAGCGAAGGGGAAAAGAGUGCCACAAUCUUAUGGAUCAUUGAUAUGGUGUUGGACGCGCUGAUUGUUGCCUCGUUAAAACCUUGUUAGGAAAAACUCAAUGGGACAAAAACCUAGUCAAAGGGAAAAGAGUACAAUGUGCAUGUCUUGUAUGUAGUAGAACUAGGAUGCUCCCCUUGAUUUAUAUUCCCCCAUGAUCUUCAACAACUUCUAGAAUCUUGACUUCGAAAAAAAACUUUGGUUCAACAACUUCUAGAAUCUUGACUUUGAAAAAAAAACUUCGGUAAAGAGGUUUGUUUACAUCACCCUUGAUGAACCAUUCUUUCACUUUCGUUAUACAAGCAUCAAUGUCUUCAUACAUGAUUUUAGGAGAAUUUACUGUUGAAGGAAGAUCACAGGUGUUCCAAACACAAUGUUGUAACAAUAUCAAAUUUAAAGUCAAAGUAUUCACAAAAGCAUUUUAGAUCAAUCAUAAUAAUAUUGAGUACAUAACUUGAGCUUCGGGCUCUUAGUGUCAAUCCGUUAAUUAAGAAUGUCAUGACACUUUAUAUAUGUGAAGGGAUCUCUUCAGGCGAUAUGUCUCAAAUAUUUAAUGAGCUUUUAAAAAUUUCUAUGUACCAUACAGUCUUAAUAAAUAUGCAUUUAACACAUGCUAUAAAUCUCGUGUUAAAAUAACAACUGUACUUAUAAAAAUGUGGAUGCAUCUAUGAUGGGAGACCAAAACUAUGUCUCUAGCAGGAAAUAUUAGUGAUACACCAAUCUGUAACCUUCAUUUGUAAUUUGUUGUUUAAGCUAUAGGUUCAAUAUCUCACACUUCAUAUUUUUUUUGAUGAUAAGCGAUAGAAUAUUAUUGAUGUAAAAAAGGUAAUACAAGAAGUUUGAACUCGUAUCAAGGGCAAAAGAAAUUCCUUGGUCACGAAUUACGAUCUUCGUACAAUAUAUCAGAAAUAAAAUCAGGAGGUUCCUCGAACUAGUAUAAAGAACCCCCAAUAUGGAAGGCAAAACGAGCUAAACGAUGAGCCACACCAUUAGCAGUACGAUGAAUAUGGGUAAAAUCUUCCCCAGUGAUCUGUGUCAGCAAGCUCUUGGUAUCCUCCACCACAGGUCCUAUGACGGACCUAUCUAUAGAGUGAUUUCGAAGUGCUGUAAUGAUCUGGAGAGCAUCACUUUCAAAGACAACAUUUUGAUAACCCCUUUCCAUCGCCAAUAUUGUACCUGUUCUUGCAGCCAAGGCCUCUACUUAUAGCACAGAGAAAACAUUAGUCAAUUUAGUUGCACAACCCGCCACAAAUUUGCCCGUGGAGUCUCUCACAACCACACCAACGCCACCCUCCGUGGUCCCUGGCUUCCAAGCACCAUCCACAUUUAUUUUAAGACUGUUCUCAUGUAGUGGUUGCCACAUUUGUUUUAUUUGACCUUGCCUACUUUGAGACCCCAAGCAAUUAUUAACCCACAAAAAAUCCUGUAGCCUCAGAGAUGCAUGCAAGCUGACUUGUUCAGGCCUACUUUUCUUAUUAUUCCAUAGCAAUCCAUUCCGUGCUUCCCAAAUUGCCCAACCCACCAUGAGAAAAUUUGCAAAGUCAUGACAGCUUAGUUGCUCUGCACAGCGAAAUACCCAAUCCUUGGGUGAAUGAGCGUCAUUGUUCCACCUGCUACUACUUAAUGUCGAACUACGCCAAGCACAGAUUGCAAACGGGCAGUCACGAAGGAUAUGAAUUGAAGAUUCGACUGGGCCCUCACAUAACAUACAUUCCUCAUCUAGAGACACCUUUUUUCAUGCCAAAUUUGCUUUCGUAGGUAAUAUUCCAGAGAUAACACGCCACCAAAAAGUCUUGACUCUGGCUGGCACAAUGGCUUUCCAAAGUAGAGACCAAUUCCUAGCGACUGCAUCCGAAUUUGAGGAGGGUGCCCUGCCAGUGGAGGAAUGCAAAGAUCUGGCUACGUGGUAGGCACUCUAAACUGUGAACAUACCUUUUUCUAUCAUAAUGCCACACCAACAUAUCGGGUGUCAAACGCAAACUUAGCGGGAUAGAGCGAAUGAGCAUCAUUUCUUCAGGAAAGAAAACAUUUUGCAGCAGUGGGGCAUUCCAUUCCCGUGAGUCGCCAUGAAUUAAGUCUGAUACUUUUGUGAUAGCACUGUGCUCAGGCUUGGGAGAGAAGAUCCGAAAGCUAUUGGGUUGUGGCAACCACCGAUCCUCCCAUAUGCCAAUUGUAUCCCCGCUCCCCACUUGCCAUCUGGAGCCUUGAAUAAUAACUGUUCUUGCUUCACAAAGACUUUUCCACACAACAGAGGCAUGAGGACUUACCGCAGUUUCAAGAAAAGAACGAGUUGGAAAAUAUUUGGCUUUAAGUACUCUCGUGAUCAGGGAGUCUAGAUUCUGGAGAAGGCGCCACCCCUGUUUAGCCAACAAAGCUGGAUUAAAAGCGUGCAAAUUUCUAAAGCCCAGGCCUCCCUCUUCUUUUGGAGCUCAUAACAUGUCCCAAGCCAUCCAAUGAAUUUUCUUGUUUUCAGUAGAGCUAUUCCACCAGAAUUGUGCAACCAGCUUGUUGAGAUCCUCGCAGACAUAUUUAGGUAAUAAAAAACAGCUCAUUGUAUAGAUUGGUAUCGCCUGUGCUACCACUUUGAUUAAGAUUUCUUUUUCGGCGCCGCUUAACAACUUUCCUAUUUAAUGAUAAAUAAAAUUGCCUAUUUAUAUUUUGGCCAAUCACUUAACUUGUCGACAUUCAUGAAACAUGAUUUAAUGUAAUCAUAGCUCUUGAUGAUUGUAGUUGCUACUAAUAAACUAAAUGUAUCAUCAAUUCAUGAUCCCAAAAUUCUCAUAUGCAUGCGCAUGCAUAAUUUAUAAAGCAUCUUAGUGUUUUAGGAUACCAAUGCUUCUUCCAAGGCUUCCAUUGUUACUUAGAGAACAAACAUCUCUUUUAAGAUGAAUAUUUUAGAAAAUGUGGAUCAUAACCUCCUAUAGACCAUUAUUUUCGAUAGGGCUUGAAUUUUUCAAAUAAUCUUCACUUAUGGGGAGUUAAGUCUUUAGAACUUAUAAAUUUAUCAUGCUUCAGACAUGCAACAUAUCAGUUAUUGAUAGUCACAUAUUGUCAUGUUCAUGGAUUGUGAUACGAGAAAAACAAUCCAUGCUAGCAUAUGUAUAACUUAUAUAUGCAUUAUCUUGAUGAGACAAAAGAUGAUUGAUUCAACACUAUUUCACAACGUUCUUCAAGAACUGUCAUAUCUCCCCCUAACGACAGGAAAGUUUUUUCAUCAACAAGGCAAUCCUUAAAACAUGUAGUAAAGUAUGGGCACAACCAAAACCAACUUAGAUUUUGAAUUUGCAUUGAUAAUUCAUCGCGUACAGUAUGUUUGCGUAAUUGGCACAUAAACAGCCAAAAACACAUAAAUGUAGUUGAAUGUCAUAAACGAAAUGUACGAGGGGAUUGUUGUUCGUUGGAAAUAUGCCACAACCGAACUAAUAAUGUAAUAUAUAAAAGGGUUAACAUCAUUUUACCCCCUCGAGGUUUGGGGUCAUUCUUGAAAUGGGCCAAGGGGUUCUAAUUUUGUCAAUUUACGCCCUAACAUUUUAAGUGAUGAUGUGGCAAAUGUGAGGUCUACUUUUUUAGCUGAGGUGUAAUUUAAUAUUAAGACAUAAUAUUUAAAAAUUAAAACAUUUGACAAAAACAAAAACAAAAUUAUUCUUUUCUCUCUCUACUCUCUCACUUCAUCGAAAUUUGGCAACUCGUUCCUCCUCCCCAUCAAUUCCAUUUUUUUUCUCUUUCUCUCUGUAGCCCCAUCCUCCAUAUCCACUCUCACACCAUCUUGCCCAGCCACCUCUCCCACCAAUAACCUCUCACUACACCCACUAUUCUCUCUCUUUACACCACUAACCCCAAGCCGAGCCACCUUUCUCCUCUCUCCUCUUCUAAUUUUUAUCUCUCUAAUCAAACGAAAAUAACACAAAAACAAAUUCUCAAACCCAACAACAAAACCCAGCAGCAAAAGAAGAAGAAACACAUGAAAGGGCUUUUUUGAAACAAAAGCAAAAUCAAAAACCAACACUUGCACAUUAAAAUUGAUCAUGAAAUUGAGAGCUCCUCAUCAACAUCAACAUCAUCACCAUCACUCAACCCUAUUCUCUCUCAUCAACAUCAACAUCAACAUCAUCACCAUCGCUCAACCCUAUUCUGGACCAUGAAAUUAAGACUAAGUCAUACUGAUUCCACCGCCCCUGCAACUAGACGUCUCAAGUGUUCCAACGGACUAACCUUUCUUCCAUGAAUUUCCAUAUGGGUCGACCCCAGAUCAGCCCCAAUCCCCUCUGCCACUAUCAAACACCACUAAUCUGACCCCACAAGCAUCAUAGCUUACGAAAUUGUCACUCUCGACAUGCUCUCUGUCCUCGCCUUCUUCCUCUACUGCCACAAUCAAACACCCAUCUGAGUCUGAUAAACUCUUCAACGACGUAGGACCUGGUUCUAGAGAUUCACAGACGACUCGACUCGAGAAUCCCACCCUCGAGCUUCCUCUACAUUGGCAAAAUUGAGAGUUUCGAAACCCUAACCGCAACGCUCAAAUAUGCGAUCGAAGAAGAAACCACGUCGUCCUGUUGACGAAGCACAGAGAAAACAGUCUCUAAGCUUCAAACAACAGCGUGUAAGAUUGUAGACAAUGGGAGACAACGACACUUUCUUCAACGUCGUCUACAAGAAACCCUUCCGACAACAAUCACUAAAGAAUCGGUGAGAAUACAAUUAAAAUACAAGCGGAAACGACGCCGUGCUGAGUUGAAAACCAGGCGAUGAAGAAAAGCAAGAGACUGUGAGAAAGAAAUUGGGUCUAGGUUUUUAGAGAGAGAAAGAGUGAGAAGAUUCUAUAAUUUUAUAGAGAGAGAGAGAGAGAGAGAGAGAGAGAGAGAGAGGAGGGGGGCGCAUAGCAAAUGAGGACACUCGCUCGCUCUCCAACCUCACCAAAGUAUUUUUGCUUUGUUCCUGAAAAACAUCCCUUCUUGAUUUUCUCUCAUUUUCGAUUUUUUUUGUUUUCAUCAUAUUUUAGGAACCGCAAUAACAAGUGUAGAAUAUAGGUUUUAUUUUUAUUUUUAUUUUUUAAUGUUUAAUUAAACCUAAGCUAAAAAAGUGGACCCCACAUUUGCCACAUCAUCACUUAACAGAAGACUAACUGGUCAAACUGACGGAAUGUGUAAAUUAGUCGAAUUUUAAAACGUUAGGGCGUAAAUUGACAAAAUUAAAAACCUCGUGGUUCAUUUCAAGAAUGAUCUCAGACCUUGAGGGAAAUGAUGUUAACCCUAUAUAAAAUGGCAUGGGCUUCAACUACUUUAAUGAUUGUGUAAUACAACCCACAAAAGAAAGUAGGAAGUUUAUCUAAUAGACGCCUCUGGCUGACAAUAUUGAGAUUAAUGCAAAAAUAUUACCAUUAAUUAACAAUCUAACAUAAAGAUAAAAAAAAAUACAAUCUUUAUUUAAAAAACAACUAGUAACAAGAAAUAAAUUUAAAAUACAAUUGGAGAAAAAAAAAUCAAAUAAGAUCAAAAUAAAAUAUCCAAAAUAAGUUAAAAAAAUAUGAAAUAAAUAAAUAAAUAAGACAUCAAAUUAAUUGGGAAGGACCCCACCACUAAUCAUGUAAUCAUGUGAUUUUCCAUUAGUAUCAGCCAAGAAGUCUGAAACAUCAAGGUGGGUUGCCACUAGGUACAAGUUUAAAGGAUCAGCUUCAAACCAAUGUAUCUCAACCGUUUUUUCUUUGCCCUUUGUCGAGGCUUGGUAAAAAUCAACCAAAUAUUUUGACGUGCAGCAGACGCAUGCCCAAUGCCUAUCUGCACCACACCUAUGAUAAGCUUCCUUAAUUACAUUUUCUUUCGUCUUUUGGGGGCCAUUUACCUUGUCUUGUUUGUUCCACUUAUAGUGGUUAUUGUUUAUGGAGUAAACAUUAAUACAUCCACCAAAACUUCUGAUUUGGGAUGUUUACGAUUGGAAUUGAGGAACCUAUGACCUCAUUUAUUUAGAAUAUCAAAGAACUUUAAAUUCUGAUCCGAUAUAGGAACUUUAGGUCCUAAUUUAGUUAUAUGAUGAGAAUCGAGGAACUUCAGGCCCUGAUCUCUUCUAUAUUGUAAUGAAUUAAAAACAUGCUUAAAAUUAAUAAACAAACUAAUUAAUUAAUUUAUGAUUAGAUAUGAGAAACAUAUCAAGUGUGAAAAGAAAAAUGUGCAGCUGUUUGAAAGAAGAAAAGAAAAAAUGUUAAUAAAUUAUUCUUUAUACAUUAUGCAUAUUCGAUUUUGUUUUCAAAUAGCUACAUUAAACAUUUAUGCAGGUAUAUUAGGCGUAUGCAUCCAUAACAAUUGUUUUGGGGAUAUGAAUGCAUGUUAUUAUGCUCGGUUACCAUGCAUACCAAUUAACUAUGUUUAUGCAUAUCAAAUAACUAUGUGGUUAUUAUGGUUAUCACACCAUGAUAUCAAAAGAAAAUAAAAAGAAAAUAAAAUGAAAGGAUCAUAAGUAUCAUGAAGUCAUGCAGGUGAGUACACGAAAACUCUAAACCACGUGAUGACUCUAGCUUAGAUAGAAAAAGAAAAAUCAUAUAAAGAAAUAAUAUAAAGUGCAACGUCGUGCUGAUAACGUGUUAUAAAAUUAAGGGGAAAUUACUUCCCUUGUUAUUUUCCAAGGGAUGAGAAAUGGAACAUUCUUUUUCCACGUUUGGUAAUGUCGAGAAAGUAACCGGGAGAUAUCAUUUUAUUUCAUUUUCUAUGUUUGUUUUAAGUAUGAAUGGAAAACAAAGUUUGUAUAAUUUUCCAAUUAUACCUAUAUUAAAGUGCUACAGUGCCCCUUGAAAUAUUAGUCAAUUCCUACUAAACCCCCUUAAAGUUAAAGUGACCCACUUUGCCCCAUUGACCAAGGUUGAGUGUGUCACUUAACCACUUUCCGUCAAUGUCAUCCCAAGUUUCAUUAAAAUGAUGGCGUGACAGGGGUAUAUUGGUCAAUUCAACUGAGGUUGUGACGUGUACUUGUGGACCCCACCUCUAACAACAGUCGUUUGGGAGAUCGUUGGGCCUGCAGAUGUGGAUUUGUGGACCCCACCUCUAACAAAACAACCAAUAUCGAAAAGGAAUCUCUAAAAACUCAAAAUUGAAAAGAGGAAAUCUACUUGGGAGAGGAAAAAUUGAGAUUUUGGAUUUAAGAUCUAGGGUUUGAGCAUAUGAUCGAGAGAGGGAGAGUGUUGUGAGUUGGUUUCGAAAUCUUGAAGGCAAGAAGAAGUGAGGCGACAGGACAACGAUGCCCGUUUAGCGAGAAGUAGGAGAAGCGCAACCUAUGUACAACAAGUUAUUCUUCUGAAAAUUGACAUAUUUUCUGAAAAGGAAUCUUGUCCUGUUAUGUGGAAAAGAAUCUUGAUCUCAUAGUGAUGUGUUAUGUAUGUGUAGAAAUGGAUAGUCUUUAGGUCUUUUUGUGUUAUAUGUUUUCGGGAGAGUGGGUUCGAAUGCAGUAUACCUUUCCUGAUGUGGUCCCCUUUUUGUUUUCUUGUAGUUGGCUUUAAAUACGUUAAUCGAACCAUGUUUGUUGUCUUGCCUUUAAUGAUUGGCUUUGAAUACUAUUUUGUAGUUCUUAAAGACAAACCUUUUUUGUUUGUGUGUAGAUGACAAAGAGUUGGCGACUUUUGAAGUACAUCAUGGUAGUUGUCACAUCCCGAGAUCGGCUCCGCCGUAGCAUGAUAUUGUCCACUUUGGGCCCCCCUCUUUGUCCUCACGGUAUUGUUUCUGGGAACUCAUGAGCAACUUCCGAGUGGGUCACCCAUCCUGGAAUUGCUCUAACCCCAACUCGUUUAACUUCGAAGUUCCCAUGACUCCGAAGCCAGUGAGCUCCCAAAAGGCCUUAUGCUAGAUGAAGGUGGGCAUGUAUAUAUAAGGCACAUCACCCCCUCUCCGUUGGUCGAUGUGGAAUGUUACAGUAAUAGAAUUGUGAAAAACAAAUACAACAAGUGGUGUUAUACAUGAGGGUCUAUAGGAUAUUUGGAUUGGUGUCCUGUAGAGUAUAUAAAUAUGUUAGAGAUGUGGGAGCAAGUGAAACUGCUUGGGCACAUGGGGAAAGUAUCACUUAAAAGAGUAGUAAAUGAUGAGUUAUUGGAUAUAGACACGAAUGGUGAGCUGUUAAGUUUGUAUAAGGUACCACUUUCUUAUUAUAGAGUGGUGCUAAUUUAUGUACAACACAAUGAAGAGGAAGGUGUUACAGUGAAUGAGGAUUGUGAAGAGGUAGGUAUAACUUUGAAUAAGGAUAGUGAAGAGGAAGGUCUGGCUUUGAAUGAGGAUAUUAGGCCUCUUACUGAGGAUAUUGGGCCACUAAACAAUGGUGAAAAUGAGACUUUUACUGAAGGCAGUGGGCCACUAAACAAUGAAAAAAGAUGGGCCGACUUUUACUGAAAUCAUGGGCCCUUCUUGCACAGUUUAAGACUGGGAUUCAAGUGAUGAUGAUGGGCCCCUAAAUAAUAAGGGUAAUAGGGCUGAUAUAGGUGAGACUGAUGUGGGAGACAGGAAUGAAGACACUGAAGAAGAAAACAAGGAAGAUGACCCUGAUUUUGUUGACAGUGCUUAUGAGCAGAGUGAAAAUGAAUUUGAGUUGUUGAAAAAGGACGAUAAAGCAUUUGAAAAUUAUGUAGACCACCCUCAAUCAGUUGAAGAAUCAAAUGCCCCUGUAAAUGAAGAUGAGGAGUCAACUGAUGUAGCUAAAAGUGAUGUUGAUAACUUGGAUAGUAGGUCAGAUGACGAGGAUGAUGGGAACCACAACAAAAGGAAGAGGAAAUUGCCUAAAUUUGAAGAAUUUAGGCAAGAAACAGACAUGAGCAACCCUGUGUUUAAGCUGGGUUUAAGAUUUACAACCACUAACCUAUUUAAGAAAGAAAUUAGGAACUAUUCAAUUAUAAACAGGAGGAUGAUUAAAUUCAAAUGCAAUGAUCGUGAUAGGGUGAGGGCAGUAUGUGCAAGGAAUUGCAAAUGGGUUUGUUUUGCUUCAGCAGUGAAUUGUGAAUGAGUUCAAGUGAAGAAGUUCGUUGACGUGCAUGAUUGUGGGACAGUUGACCACAACUUUCAUGCUAACUCAACAUGGUUAGCUCAGAGAUAUGUUCCUUAACUGUCUAGAAUGCAUAAUUGGGAUAUGGGAACUUUUAUGCAGCAUGUACAAGAAUAAUUGUCUGUGAUAGCUUCUAAAUCCUAAAUAUAUAGGGUAAGGCAGAAGGCAACAUCCAUAACUUAGGAGACUUAUGAAAAACAGUAUGAGUUAUUAUGGGAUUAUGUUGCUGAACUAAGAAGGACAAAUGUGGGUAACACAAUCAUUAUCAAAUGUGAGUUAGAGGCUGAAAGGCCAAGGUUUCAGAGGAUUAACAUUUGCUUGGCUACAGUUAAACAAGGGUUUUUGCAGGGAUGUAGGCUAGUGAUAGGAUUUGAUGCUUGUCAUAUCAAAGGUCAUCACCCUGGACAAUUGCUAUCUGCUGUUGGUGUGGAUCCUAACAAUGGCAUGUAUCUUAUUGCGUAUAUAGUGGCUGAGGUGGAGAAUUAUGAAACGUGGUCUUGGUUUUGUCAACUGUUGGCAGAGGACCUUGGAAUCGAAAACAGCACAGGAUAUGUCUUUAUUGACAAGCAAAAAAGGCUUGAUUUGCAGUAGAUGAUCAUUUUUCAAAUGCUGAGCACAGACAUUGCCUGAAACACUCAAAAGCAAAUUUUUGCUUGCUGGUCACAGAGGAUUGGUGUUGAAAUUGCAAAUGGAGAAAAUUGCAAGGAGAACAACCAUCCCAUGGUGGGAUGCUGAGAUGAAAAAUAUGAGACAAUUGAGCCAAGCUGCAUUUGAUUAGGUAGCGGCCUUAUAUCCAUCACAAUAGUGUAGAGCUCACUUUAAAACUCAUUCCAAGUGUGACAUCCUUUUGAAUAAUAUGUGUGAGGCUUUUAAUGGUGCCCUUGUAGAAGUCAGAGACAAACCCAUUUUAACCAUGCUAGAGAGGAUUAGAUACAAUAUUAUGUUGUUGAUGGCAACUAGAAAAGCAUCUUGUGAGAGAAGGAAAUAUGACAUUGGUCCAAGAAUUUUUGGCAUUUUGGAGAAAAUGAAGAGAGAAUCAGCUUAGUGCAUUCCAAAGCUUGCUGGGGGGAGUUUAUAUGAAGUCAAAAACCAUGAUGGAAGUCAAGUUGUGGUUGAUUUGGCAAGACAUAUUUGUUCAUGUAGGAGAUGGGAUAUCACUGGGAUCCCAUGCAAGCAUGCUUGUGCUUCCAUUGGGUAAUUAAAUGGGGAUCAUAUUGCUUAUGUUGAUGAUUGUUACAAUAAGGAAGCCUUUAUGACAACUUACAGUCUAAUGGUUCACCCAAUGACAAGUGAAGGCUUGUAGCCUAAGUGUCAUAUGCCUUCUUUGAUGCCACUACUUUAUCAUAAACAACCUGGAAGACCAAGUAAAAAAAGGAUGAGAUCAGUAGGUGAACAACUACGCACAUCUAAUCCUACAGCCACCAAGUUGCAGAGGUAUAACUUGGAAACCAAGUGUUCAAUUUGUAGACAAGGAGGCCAUAAUAGGAGGAGCUGCCCUAAGGUAAAAGAAGGCACUUGCAGUCAGGUUUGUCUCUUCCCAAAAAACAUUGUAAAUAUAAUUGUUUUGGAUCUUUAUUAUUUAAUUUUAAGUGAUUAUCUUUUUAUGUUAGGUCCCAUCUAAACCAAAGGUGGAGAAAACAAUUGGCACCACAUCAAUCAAGAGGGUUACAAGACAAUCAAGAGCCAAGCAACAUGUAAGUGACUUUCAUUUGAUACAUGUUUAGAGGAAGAGGUAUGGGAUGUAGUUGAUGUAAAUUACCUUGUGCUUCAAUUUUUAGGUCAGAAAAAAGUUGGAAAUUGGUAAGUGUUCUUAAACUGCCCAAUGUUAUGAACUUGCCCAAUCUUCUCAAACUCCACAUGCUUCUGAAACUACCCAAGCUUCUGAAACUGCCCAAGCUUCGCAAACUACCAAAAAAACAAAAGGUUCAAGUCUCCUGCAAAGAGGAUUAAAUUUACCAAAAUGAAUUAUGGUUCUCAAACUGUGCAAGGCUCUCAAUCUGUGCAAGGAAGUGAAUCCGUGCAAUCUUUUCCAGGUUCUCAAACUGGCCAAUGUUCUCAACCUGACCAAACUUCUCAAACUGUGCAUGGAUCUCAACCAAGUGCAAGUUCAUCACACCCUUUUAGCACUGGUACAAACAAAAAGAGGUUUAAAUCUCCUGCCAAGAGGAAGAAAUUUACCAAUAUGAAGGAUUUGUUGGAUGGUUAUCAGCCUUGGGGAUUCUGAUGAUGUGCAAGUGUUCUGUGUUUUGUUAAAAUGCCUCUUAUCAAGGACUUUUGAUUGAACUAUUAUUUUGCAAGUCCAACUGUUAAGGAUAAGUGUUAAGGACAAACCUUCCAAAUGGGACUUUUGAUUGAACUAUUAUUUUGCAAGUCCAACUAUUAAGGACAAACCUUUCAAUAGUAUCAAGUACUGGUAUUCAUUUGGAUCAUAGGUCCAGAUUGAAAGUAAUGUUAUAAACUAUGAGGAUCUGAUGGAAACUGUGAGGAUUUGAUUAAUGUUAUAAACUGUUUCCAACUUGGUGCAUUUUGAUCAAUGUUAUGAACUGUUUUUAGUAUUUAUUAGAUAAGUUGAUCUGUAUACUAUUGUUUUCGUGGUGAUUUGUUAACUAUUGUUUUCGUACCUUCUAGGAAGUGUUGGAGGUGCUGUUGUUUUGGUAAUUCUUUUGAUACUAUUACAGAAGUACCAGAAUCCAAAAACUGACUCCCAAAUGUGUUCAAAUACCACAUUCAUUAGAUAAGUACCAAUACAUUGUUACAUACAGUUGCAAAAUCAAACCAUGUUCAUCCAUCAUUAGAUAAGUACCAAUACAUGAUAUUUUACAUACUGUUGCAAAAUACAGACUUUUAAAACCAGCCUAAUUCCUCCAUUGCCAACCUCUAAUGGCCAAAUUUUAUGGCAAUUUUUACAAAAAUUGCCAAAACAACAACAUAAUUACUAAACCCCAUGAAAGAAUAAAGCAACCCAUUAACUUUCUUUCUCUUGAUUGACAACAUCCAACGUCCUUUUCAAGUUCCUUCAAUCUUCUAAGUAGCCAAGUCACCGGAGCCUUCUCUCUAAGUGGAAAUUCAACAUCCACCCAAACAAAAAACUCACAUCCUUUUUUCCUCCUCUACAUCAACCAUUAAUAGCAAUUAAUAAAAAAAUUAUAACACAAUUCAUAGACUUUGAACAACAAAACUUACCCCUCCUGAUGAUUUUGGACAAACAUGGAAUCUUCGAAGUGGGUUGGCCUCAGUCCACGAAGUUUGUAAGUGAGCUAUCUUCCCACAAAAGCAACUCGGUCCUUCCACAUCCAACUCUUCCCAUUCGUCAAUUAUUUCAGGCAUCAUCUUCAAUUUUCGUAGAAACCCAACGUUUGAUUUCUAGGGUUUUAUCUUCUUUUAUGGGGAGGAAUCGAAUUUGGGGUUUUUUUGGUUCAGGCCAGGCAGCUCAGAUCAAUUUGGGGUUUAUCUUCUCUGUUGUUAGAGGUAGGGUCCACAAGUACACGUCACAACCUCGGACUGGUGAGAAAAAUCUCAGCUCAGUUGAAUUGACCAAUAUACCCCUGCCAUGCCAUCAUUUUAACGAAAUUUGGAAUGCGUUGACUAAAAGUGAUUAAGUGACAUAAGAAACGUUGGUCAAUGGGGUAAAGUGGGUUACUUUAACUUUGAGGGGGUUUAGUGGGAAUUGACCAAUGUUUCAUAGGCAACUGUAGCACUUAAGCCUAAAUCAAAUAAAAAUAGAAUGCAUUUAAUGAUAUAUUGUAAUUCUAAAUUGUUAAUAGGGAUAAAAUGGUCAUAUAAAAUGUACAUUUAAUGUUGGUUUAUUUUUCCAAACUUUCUCAUAAGAAGGGAAAACGAAACCCAAGUUUGGAGGAGGGCUUCACUUUCCCCCCUACUUUCUCAUGUGCCAUGCAACCAUUUCUCAAGUUUAAACUUAUCAAACAUGAGAAAGCAAUUGAUUUCCUAUGCUCAAGCCUUUUUAUCUAUGAACCAAAUGGGGCCUAAGAGAAAGACAAAGACAAAUAAUUUAUUCUUAUAUAUCAUUCAUCUUUGAUACUUACUAUUUAUUGGCUUCGUGAAUAGACAAACAUUCACUACCCAUUAUUGUAGAUUACAAAUACAUAAUUACAACUCAUAAAAUGUACUAAAUACAAUCCUUAAUGCGUAUGUUAUAACGAUAUUUAUGAUGAGUUUUAUGAUAGAUAUUAUGACUGAUAUUAUGGUAGUCAUCCACAAUCAAUAGAUUUACAACAAAACUCUAUUAAUUAACACAAUAAUAAUAAUUAAGUUGUAGUUUUCAACUCAAAUUAUCAAUCCUUUUAGUUGCCAUCUACAUAUUUCUCCGUAUGCAUAACAAGUAAAGCAGAAAUGGCUGUCGAAGUCGACGACGCCGACGCCGUUUCGUCAAACCCGGGAGGUUUCCGGCUACGCUGGGACGUGGUCCUGAGCUUCAGAGGCGAAGACACCCGCACAACAAUACGAAGAAUAUCUACGAGGCGCUCGAGAAACACGGCGUCCGAGUCUUCAGAGACGACGACGGUUUGAACCGCGGGGACGAGAUGAUUCUACCUGUGUUUUACCAAGUGGACCCCUCCGACGUUCAACGGCAGAGGGGUCCAUUUGCAAAGCAUUUUAGAGCUCAUGAGCAAGUGUACGGAAACGCCGUCGUCUCUAGGUGGAGGAGUGCCAUGGCGAAAGUCGGUAGUACAGCUGGGUAUAUUUUCAACGCCAGGUAGUAAUUAAUUGAAUUAAAUUAGAAUAAUCAUAAUUCAUAACUAAAUUCCCACUCAAUCAGUUAGAAAACCUGUAAAACCCUAGCUAAUGUUGAUCAUUCCUAUCAACAUGCAAAAAUUGAGAUGAUUAUAGAUUUAGUUAUCUAAUGUUUAAGGUUUUGGUAUAUCCUAUGAUACUAAGAUAUCAUAAGUGUGGUGGGGUAUUCUUUUCACUUUGUUUAUUAAUAUAGUAAUUUAAAUUGGGCGAUUUGGUAAAGAUCAAUUUUAUAUAGUAAUUUAAAUUCCCAUGUAUCUUCCUCACCCCACUGUCGUUCUCAUUCAGAUUUACAUUCUAAAUUGUUAGACUUUUGGCUUGUUUAUGAGGACCAAUUGUUUUCGCAAAUAGCUGCUUCGUGUGUUAACUAAUUGGUGUUUUCAUUCUACGCCCUCUUCCUCUUGUAUGGUCACUGAUCACAUGAUUUGCAGUUGAUUUGUUAGUUAAAGUUGGUCAUAAUAAUUAAUGAAAACUGCCACAUUAUAUGACCAGCUAGAAUGGUUUGAAAGUUUGAUCCUUUAAUACUUUUUAAGAUUUAGUUAUUGUCAAGAUAAACUUGUCUGUAACAGAUACAAUUAAUUCUCAGUUUUCUUUUACAAUUAACCAUUUAUGUUCGUUUUCUAUAGAUAUGCAAAAAUUUAUAGUGGCUAUAGUUUAUGUUUUGCUUAUCACCCUAAGGGGUUAAGUAAUGUAUUUGUGAUCAUGUAUAUUGACAGCAAAGAAGCAGAGUUGAUUCAAUUGUUAGUCAAAACGGUUUUGACUGAAAUGAACAAAACCCCAGUAGGUCUUGAUGCAUACACAGUGGGACUUGAUUCCAGGGUUGAAGACGUUAUGAGGUUGUUAGAUGUUAGAUCCAACAGCAUUUUAGUUGUCGGAAUUCAUGGCAUGGGUGGUGUUGGCAAGACAACACUUGCCAAGGCUCUUUUUAAUAGCCUUGUGGGUUAUUUUGAGUGCCACAGUUUCAUCUCAAAUGUUAGAGAAAUUUCAGCAGGGCAUGAGGGUUUAGUAUCACUUCAAAACAAACUUAUUGGUAGUCUUUCUUCUAAUACCAUGUCUGUAAAUGAACUUAAUACUGGUAUUUCUGCAAUCAAAGCAAUUGUAUAUGAGAAGCGAGUUCUUAUUGUCUUGGAUGAUGUUGAUAACGUAAACCAACUAAAUGCUUUAGUUGGCAACAGACAAUGGUUUUAUGAAGGAAGCCGAAUUAUUGUUACCACAAGAGAUAGAGAAGUCUUACCCAAUCAUCUUGUGAAUGAGUUGUAUGAGGUCAAGGAGUUGCAAUUCUCUCAGGCACUUCAACUUUUUAGUUACCAUGCACUGAGAAGAGAAAAACCCACAGAUACUUUCUUGACUCUCUCUGAGAAAAUUAUGUCUCUCACAGGUGGGCUACCAUUGGCUCUUGAAGUAUUUGGUUCUUACCUAUUUGAUAAGAGGAGAAUAGAGGAAUGAAGAGAUGCUCUGCAGAAGCUGAAACAGAUUCGUCCACGCAGUCUUCAGGAUGUGUUAAAGAUGAGUUAUGAUGCACUAGACGAGCAAGAGAAGUGCAUCUUUCUAGACAUUGCAUGUUUAUUUGUAAAAAUGGAUAUGAGGAGAGAAGAUGCAAUUGACAUAUUGAAAGGUUGUGGUUUUGAUGGGGAGAUAGGAAUUGCUGACCUCGUAGCAAGAUCACUCAUUAAAGUUUAUGUAGACAGUAUAUUGUGGAUGCACGAUGAAGUUAGAGACAUGGGAAGACAAAUCAUUAAAGAGGAAAACCUUUUAGAUCCUGGCAUGCGUAGUAGACUUUGGGAUCAUGAUGAAAUAUUGAAUGUCUUCAAGGAUAAUAAGGUAGAGAUUCCAGCACUACUAUUUUUAUUGUUUAUAUAUUCUUCUAGCUGGAUUUAGAUGUAGAAGAGGCUUGAAUGUCUUAUAACUUAAUAAGGAUGAUGCAUUAUUAUUUUUCUUCACUCAGUUUCUUAUAUAUUUUCCAUACCUUGAUAAUAGGGAACAAGAUGUAUACAGGGGAUAGUCCUAGACUUGGAAUCAAUGAAAAGGUCGGUGGGGGAUCCAAGUGGUGACAGAAUUUCUUGGGAUAACUUUCGAAGAGGCCCAACUUUUACCUCUGCAGUUACAUACCUAAAAGAAAGAUACAAAGCAUAUCUUCAACUAAAGCAGAGAAAAAGAGAGAGGUUACAAUUUUCUCUAAACCCCUGAGAGCAAUGGUCAAUCUUAGAUUGCUUCAAAUUAAUUAUCUGAAUUUGGAAGGCCGCUUCAAGUUUCUUCCUGCAGAGUUGAAGUGGUUACAGUGGAAAGGUUGUCCUCUGAAAUCUCUUCCUUCGGAUUUUUCCCCUCGCCAACUUGCUGUCCUUGAUCUUCCACGCAGCAAAAUUGAAGUUUGUGGCAUGGGCACGGAAGCAAGGUAUGUACUUCACUAUCUGAUCCAUCAUCUUCAUCAUUAUAAUUGUGACAGCAAGAAUUGUAUCACUGAUCUUCAGAAGUGUCUGCCUUGUAUCUCUGUCUCUUUCUUCCUAUUUCUAAGGCACAACUAAUGCAUUUUGGUAAUGCUCAUACACUUUAUUGUUUUCCAGGUGGCCGAGAAAUUGAUGCUCUUGAAUCUAAACGGCUGCUUUAACCUAACCCACAUUCCUGAUUUAUCUGGGAAUCGGGCCUUGGAAAAGCUUAGUCUUGAGCAUUGCAGUAAACUGACUAAGCUUCAUGCCUCGAUUGGGAAUUUGCGUACAUUGGUCCACUUGAACCUUCGAGACUCUGAAAACCUCAUUGAACUUCCAAAUGAUGUCUCCGGCCUGACAAAACUUGAGAACCUAAUCCUCUCUGGUUGCUUACAACUGAAAGAACUGCC